UCUAGAACUCGAGAUAUGGACUAAACACUGAACAAUAUCUGGGCUGCAGGAGAAAUUCAGACUUCUCUUUGGUUUCUAUGAUUUGAACUUGAAAAUUACAGAUUUGAAUUGUGGACUCUUAUGAAUGUUUUGGGAUUAUGUCUUAGCUUUCCAUC
rfam:Populus trichocarpa scaffold_1_contig_424, whole genome shotgun sequence.